rnacentral:rRNA from 1 species
AUUGAACGCUGGCGGCAUGCCUUACACAUGCAAGUCGAACGGCAGCACGGGUGCUUGCACCUGGUGGCGAGUGGCGAACGGGUGAGUAAUACAUCGGAACAUGUCCUGUAGUGGGGGAUAGCCCGGCGAAAGCCGGAUUAAUACCGCAUACGAUCUACGGAUGAAAGCGGGGGACCUUCGGGCCUCGCGCUAUAGGGUUGGCCGAUGGCUGAUUAGCUAGCUGGUGGGGUAAAGGCCUACCAAGGCGACGAUCAGUAGCUGGUCUGAGAGGACGACCAGCCACACUGGGACUGAGACACGGCCCAGACUCCUACGGGAGGCAGCAGUGGGGAAUUUUGGACAAUGGGCGAAAGCCUGAUCCAGCAAUGCCGCGUGUGUGAAGAAGGCCUUCGGGUUGUAAAGCACUUUUGUCCGGAAAGAAAUCCUUGGCCCUAAUACGGUCGGGGGAUGACGGUACCGGAAGAAUAAGCACCGGCUAACUACGUG